rnacentral:tRNA from 3 species
GGAGAGAUGGCCGAGUUGGCUGAAGGUGCACGACUGGAAAUCGUGUGUGCCGUAACUGGUACCGAGGGUUCGAAUCCCUCUCUCUCCGCCA